rnacentral:rRNA from 1 species
GACGAACGCUGGCGGCGUGCUUAACACAUGCGAGUCGAACGGAAAGGCCCUGCUUUUGUGGGGUGCUCGAGUGGCGAACGGGUGAGUAACACGUGAGUAACCUGCCCUUGACUUUGGGAUAACUUCAGGAAACUGGGGCUAAUACCGGAUAGGAGCUCCUGCUGCAUGGUGGGGGUUGGAAAGUUUCGGCGGUUGGGGAUGGACUCGCGGCUUAUCAGCUUGUUGGUGGGGUAGUGGCUUACCAAGGCUUUGACGGGUAGCCGGCCUGAGAGGGUGACCGGCCACAUUGGGACUGAGAUACGGCCCAGACUCCUACGGGAGGCAGCAGUGGGGAAUAUUGCACAAUGGGCGGAAGCCUGAUGCAGCAACGCCGCGUGCGGGAUGACGGCCUUCGGGUUGUAAACCGCUUUCGCCUGUGACGAAGCGUGAGUGUCGGUAAUGGGUAAAGAAGCACCGGCUAACUACGUG